GACGAACGCUGGCGGCGUGCCUAAUACAUGCAAGUCGAGCGCAGGAAACUGACGGAACUCUUCGGAGGGAAGGCAGUGGAAUGAGCGGCGGACGGGUGAGUAACACGUAAGGAACCUGCCUCAAGGAUUGGGAUAACACCGAGAAAUCGGAGCUAAUACCGGAUAGUUCAUCGGACCGCAUGGUCCGUUGAUGAAAGGCGCUCCGGCGUCACCUUGAGAUGGCCUUGCGGUGCAUUAGCUAGUUGGUGGGGUAACGGCCCACCAAGGCGACGAUGCAUAGCCGACCUGAGAGGGUGAUCGGCCACACUGGGACUGAGACACGGCCCAGACUCCUACGGGAGGCAGCAGUAGGGAAUCUUCCCCAAUGGACGAAAGUCUGAUGGAGCAACGCCGCGUGAGUGAUGAAGGUUUUCGGAUCGUAAAACUCUGUUGUAAGGGAAGAACACGUACGAGAGGAAAUGCUCGUACCUUGACGGUACCUUACGAGAAAGCCACGGCUAACUACGUGCCAGCCGCCGCAGUAAGAC
rnacentral:rRNA from 1 species